UUUCAUAAAAUUUGUUCCAUCUAGGGGGGUGUUGUCGUAGGCGCUAACGAGAUAUUUGGCUGUGAUGUGAAAGGACCCCCUGCUGUGUUGUGGUAGGCGAUAAUGGGGUAUUGGGUUGUGACGUGAUAGGACCUCCCCCGCUCUGUGAGUAAUGUGUGAGUAACACGUGACACAUGCUUAAGGGGCUUAGGCAAUAGGGAUGUGUAUUUAAGGGGUUGUUGUGCCUUAAUAAAUUGCCAUUUGCUUCUACAUCAUAUUGGUGUCAGUGUUGCUAUGGCCCUAGCGAAUGCAGAUCACUAGCCCCUAGGCAGUCCAGCCUUUGACACGGUGGUUGCUGGAGAGACUGAUGUUAUGACAGAACAGAAGAAUAAAGCUAAAUUUAGACAUCUCUUCAACAGAAUAAAGCAGAGCCUUUACAUUUUGUAGGUGGCUUCCUCUUAUGACACCGAAUGUGGCUGCAACAGAGUGCUGGAACUGCUGUAUCUUCACUGUGAAACUCCAUCUCCUUGCAGCUGGAUGUGCACGAUGAGGGGUCUGAACAUGCUGCAGGUGCCUGAGGGCUGUACUAAAAUGGAACCCCUUCCAGGGAAGGAUUAACAUUGCCCUCUGCAGCUGUCAACCCAGUGGAGGCUUUCUAAAAGUAUCCAAGGCACAUAUGUAUGAUU
rnacentral:lncRNA from 1 species